AUUGACCACUUGUUUUGGAGGAUGAUUAGAAGGAAUAUGGACUGAACCUGGUGAAGCUGAAGCUGAAGCAGAAGAAAAAUCUGGGUUUUGCAACACAGACACCUCUGACUCCGAGCUUGCUGAUACUCUGGGGCUUUGAAUGGGUGAGCUUGUGNCAGCUAUACAAGACACGGGCAAAGGUAUUGGUUCAAUUAUUGGAGGACUAACAUUUUCAGCUGAUCUUUGCGACUCUGAAAGUUGUUCUGCAGUUGGGAUUGCAUGAGAACUUACAUCAAGAGGUUCAACUUUAGGAACCUUGUAAGGGACCGGAGGACCAUGAUACUCUAUAGCUAUGGAGUAAUCAAGUUUAGUAUCAUCCUCAGGAAGAGAAGCACCUGGAGGAAGCAUCUUUCUCACCAAUUCCCUCCAGCUCUCUCCCUCUUUUUGCUCCAUUACUUCCACAAUAACACCAACUAACUAUAUCUUCAAUUAAACUAAUAGCUUCU
rnacentral:misc_RNA from 1 species